rnacentral:rRNA from 1 species
AACUACGAUUGGCUGCCACUGGUGUACCGGUUGUUCGAGAGAGCACGUGCCGGGUAGCCACGCAGCACGGGGUAAGAGCUGAACGCAUCUAAGCUCGAAACCCACUUGGAAAAGAGACACCGUCGAGAGUCCUCGUAGAAGACGAGGUCGAUAGACUUGGGGUGUGCGCGUCGAGGUAACGAGACGUUCAGCCCACAAGCACUAACAACUCAAAGCCAUCAUUCA